rfam:Picea glauca, whole genome shotgun sequence.
GACCCUUUCGACUUAGUAGUAGAGUAACGCCAUGGUAAGGCAUAAAUCAUCGGUUCAAGUCCGGUAAGGGGCU